AUUUACUUAAUUACUAUUAUAAAAUAAUAAUAAAUAAUUAUCAUUAUUAAUUCAUUAUCAUCAAACUUAGGAUAUUUACGGAUUCUACUUUUUAUGGGUUUACGUUUUUUAUGGGAAAAUCUUGGGUUUACGUUUUUGGUGGGAAAAUCACGGGUUUACGUUUUUGGUGGGAAAAUCACGGGUUUACGUUUUUGGUGGGAAAAUCACGGGUUUACGUUUUUGGUGGAAAAAUUACGAGUUUACGUUUUUUGGCGAGAAAAUUACGAGUUUACGUUUUUAGCGUCAAAAUUACGAGUUUACGUUUUUGGCGGGAAAACCACGGGUUUAUGUUUUUGGCGGAAAAAUCUCGGGUUUACGUUUUUGGCGGGAAAAUCACGGGUUUACGUUUUUGGUGGGAAAAUCACGGGUUUACGUUUUUGGAAAAAAAUUAUGGGUUUACGUUUUUGGCGGAAAAAUUACGGGUUUCCGUUUUUGGCGGGAAAUUAUGGAUUUACGUUUUUGGCGGGAAAAUCUCUGGUUUACGUUUUUGGCGGAAAAAUCAGGGGUUUACGUUUUUGGCGGAAAAAUCACGGGUUUACGUUUUUGGCGAGAAAAUCACGGAUUUACGUUUUUGGCGGGAAAAUCACGGGUUUAUGUUUUUUGGUGGAAAAUUUACGAGUUUACUUUUUCUCAAUUUCAUCGCAUGUAUAUUUAAGAAAUUUGGAAAAAUAUUAAUUUUAUUAAAUUGGUUUAGAUGUGUUGGUUAGACUUAAAUUGACAUUGAUUUAGAAAUUUUAGUUGGUUUAAUUCAAUUUUACAAAACUUGAUGGGUUAAUUGGGUAAACCAUUGAAACCAUUAAUCAUUACAACCCAACUCAUUUUACUCAUCAAACCAAUUGACUCAUCAACUCAUUUGACCCAUCAACUCAUUUGAGUCAAAAUUUUCAACUCAUUAGGGUUUAUGGGUUGAGUUGAGUUGACCAAUAAAUUUUGACCCAUUGACACCCCUACACAUAUCAAAUAAUUUUAACCUAUCUAAAUUUUUUUUAUAAAAAUUACUAACUAACAUGUCACGAGUUCACGACACAUAUCAAU
rnacentral:sRNA from 1 species